GCCUUGGUCGCAUAAUGGUAUUGCACCGGAUUGCUAAUCCGGACCCUUCGGGGUGCGUAGGUUCGAUUCCUGCCCGAGGCG
rnacentral:tRNA from 1 species